UUAUCCAAAAGCCUGCAACGGGGAACACGGGGUUUGUGUCAGCAACUCCAGAACUGUGCAAACACAGGGCAGCUGUAUUUUGGUGAAGGCUCCAAGCUGACGGUGCUGGAGGAUCUGAGCAAGGUGAGCCCACCUAAGGUCACCUUGUUUGAGCCAUCAGAAGCAGAGAUCGUCGACAAACAAAUGGCUACCCUCGUGUGCCUGGCCAGGGGCUUCUUCCCCGACCACGUGGAACUGAGUUGGUGGGUGAAUGGGAAGGAGGUCCUCAGCGGAGUCAGCACGGACCCUCAGCCCUACAAGGAGCUCAAUAACAUCACCUACUGCCUGAGCAGCCGCCUGAGGGUCUCCGCGACCUUCUGGCACAAUCCUCGCAACCACUUCCGCUGCCAAGUCCAGUUCUUCGGGCUGGCAGAUGAGGACGAGUGGAAGGGGCCCUCGACCAAACCCGUCACCCAGAACAUCAGUGCAGAGGCCAGGGGCAGCGCAGACUGUGGCAUCACGUCAGCAUCCUAUCAUCAAGGGGUCCUGUCUGCCACCAUCCUCUAUGAGGUCCUCCUGGGGAAAGCCACCCUGUAUGCUGUGCUGGUCAGUGCCCUGGUGCUGAUGGCCAUGGCCAAGAAAAAAAAUCCCUGAGACCAACUUUUGUGCAUCCUGGGUUGUUCUCCAUCCUGAACCUGGAUUCUGCGGCACCUUCUUCUUAAUCCCUGUCCCUAAGAAGCUACUUUCUGUCCAAAGCAUUUAUUCUUCCUCCAUGGAUAUCCAUCCUUCCUCACAGCUUCCUGCAGACUGACCUCUUGACUCUGAAACAGACUAAAUCAAUAAAAAUGUUCAGCUGGG